GAUGAAGAACGUAGCGAAAUGCGAUAAGUAGUGUGAAUUGCAGAAUUCCGUGAAUCAUCGAAUCUUUGAACGCACAUUGCGCCUUCUGGUAUUCCGGAAGGCAUGCCUGUUCGAGAGUCAUUAACAACCGUUUCGAUCCCUUUCUUUCAGAAAUUACAAAGAGGAAAAGGGUUUGGUUAUGGUGGAGGAGGGAAAGGGAGCGUUUAGCCUGUAAAAAAAGAGGCUGUGUUCCGCCUCCCCCCCAAAAUUGUACAGGCGGUCGUGUGCGCCCAAGCAUCGAGGUGUUGUAAAAGCUGCCACGGCACUUUUCACCUGUGCAGUGCGAGAUUGGCCAGCCGGUUUAAAAACCCCUCCAAACAAUCAAAGGUUGACCUCGCAUCAGGUAGGGAUACCCGCUGAACUUAAGCAUAUCAAUAAGCGGAGGA
rnacentral:misc_RNA from 1 species